rnacentral:lncRNA from 1 species
GCUUUACUCGCCCAGCGGCGCAAGAUGAAGGGGAUUUCCACUAUCUGGAGAUUCCUAACGACCAGAACCUGUUGCUUGAGGAGGAGAACAUGGUAACGUUGUUCAGGGUUCUGUGCUCCGAUGCGGUGAGUGCGUACUUGAGGAAUAUCUCGAACAUCAAAUUGAUGGGCGAGGUGGAGGCCCAAAGUAUAAAGGUCUGUAUAAAUCUUUGGUUGUUUUUCUUUCUCAGUAUGCCUUCUUGUGUUAAUUGUUGCUCUUGUUUAUUGUAGUCAUUUCUCUU